CCUACGGGGGGCAGCAGUGAGGAAUAUUGGUCAAUGGACGAGAGUCUGAACCAGCCAAGUAGCGUGAAGGAUGACUGCCCUCUGGGUUGUAAACUUCUUUUAUAAAGGAAUAAAACGAGGCACGUGUGACUUUUUGCAUGUACUUUAUGAAUAAGGAUCGGCAAACUCCGUGCCAGCAGCCGCGGUAAUAGGGGGGAUGCGAGCGUAAUCCGGAUUUAUUGGGUUUAACGGGUGCGUAGGCGGGCAGUUAAGUCAGCGGUAAAAGCCCGGGGCUAAACCCCGGCGAGCCGUUGAAACUGGCUAUCUAGAGAUGUCGAGAGGUAUGCAGAAUGCGCAGUGUAGCGGUGAAAUGCUUAGAUAUGGCGCGGAACUCCGAUUGCGAAGGCAGCAUACCGGCG
rnacentral:rRNA from 1 species